GACGAACGCUGGCGGCGUGCUUAACACAUGCAAGUCGAACGGAAAGGCCCUGCUUUUGUGGGGUGCUCGAGUGGCGAACGGGUGAGUAACACGUGAGUAACCUGCCCUUGACUUUGGGAUAACUUAAGGAAACUGGGGCUAAUACCGGAUAGGAGCUCCUGCUGCAUGGUGGGGGUGGGAAAGUUUCGGCGGUUGGGGAUGGACUCGCGGCUUAUCAGCUUGUUGGUGGGGUAGUGGCUUACCAAGGCUUUGACGGGUAGCCGGCCUGAGAGGGUGACCGGCCACAUUGGGACUGAGAUACGGCCCAGACUCCUACGGGAGGCAGCAGUGGGGAAUAUUGCACAAUGGGCGGAAGCCUGAUGCAGCAACGCCGCGUGCGGGAUGACGGCCUUCGGGUUGUAAACCGCUUUCGCCUGUGACGAAGCGUGAGUGACGGUAAUGGGUAAAGAAGCACCGGCUAACUACGUG
rnacentral:rRNA from 1 species